GUGUUCGGGUUGUCAUGCCAAUGGCAUUGCCCGGUAGCUAAGUGCGGAAAAGAUAAGCGCUGAAAGCAUCUAAGCGCGAAACUUGCCUCAAGAUGAGUCUUCCCUGGGCCUUUAAGGCCCCUGAAGGAACGUUUAAGACUAAGACGUUGAUAGGCUGGGUGUGUAAGUGCAGCGAUGCAUUGAGCUAACCAGUACUAAUGAUCCGUGAGGCUUAACCUUACAACACCGAAGGUGUUUUAG
rnacentral:rRNA from 1 species